AACCACUUGAGGAAUUCCAGUGUGCCAUCACCCCUUAGCCAGGAUAAUGUCCAUAGAGCAAAUACCCAAAGAAUAUACUUUGAAUUGGUCCUUUCUCGGUCUCCAUUGUGUCUAGCUUGGAUUCCAGCCAGACUCUGUCUCCCAACGUCAGCUGCAAGACAACAUUUCCGGAAAGAUGCCUAUAAUCGUCCUUGGCCUUGGACUCCUUCUCCAGGAUUUGAGUGCCAUUCUUCACGAGCCCUAACUUCACAGCAUGCUGGAAUAGCUCUAUGUCAAAGCCAAAGCGGUACACGCCAGGGAUGGUGCAGGCUGACUCCUCAGAUUUGUAUCCAUGAAAUUUCAUUUCCCAAAGAUCAGGAAAAUGUAAGUACGUUUGCCCUCACUCUUUUUCAACAUAGUACUAGGCGUUAUAGCCAUUGUAAUAAACAGUUAAAGGAGAUAAAAGGCAUGCCAAUCAGGAAACAAAAUAAACAAACCUGCCCCAAUUGUCUAUGUUAGAAUUUCAAGGACUCUACAAGAGAACCUCUAGCACUAAUUAGUGAGUUACACAAGGUUAAAGGAGACAAGGUCAGCACACACGCAAAAAUCGGUCAUAUUUCUGUUUACUAUCAGUGAACUCAUUGCAAAUAGAAAUGAAAAACACAAUAUCAUAUAUCAUAGCUCUGAAGAAAUGAAAUACUUGUAUAAAAGUCUAAUAAAACAUGUACAGGAUAUUGUAUGCUAAAAGCUACAACCAGCAAUCCCACUCCUGGGUAUUUAUCCUGGAGAAAUGAAAAUGUAUAUUUCUGUAAAAACCUGUGCAUAAAUGUUUCAGACAGUUUUAUUUGUUAUAGCCCCAAACCAAUGAGUCACUAUUCAUGAAUGGAUGAACAAGCUGUGGUACAUAAUAUAAAGAAUACUAGGGAACAACAAUGUCUUUUGGAGGGAAGGAAAUGGUGAGAACUUCAUCACAUGGAUUGCUUCAUUCCUUUGCAGGAUGGAAAGAACCUACGUGACAUCUUCUCAUUGGUGCUGACAAGAAAAUUCCAAGCUGGUUGAUUAAGAUCACAUUUUGAAGGAAGAUCAAAACUACAGUUAGGUUAGGUAUUAAAUCUAAGUUUGGUAUCAUGAGCUUUAGCACAAGUGAUACCAUUUUGGAUCUGUGAUUCUUCUAUUAAAUGGAUCUUAUGUUCAUUAUACUGAGUCUCAAUCACAGAGUCACCCUAAUAUCCAUCAGCAGAAGAGUAGAUAAAUGGUGUAGGUUAGAUAAAUAGAGUAGAUAAAAGAAAAAGAGUAGACAAAUAGAUAAAUUGUGGCAUAUUUGUAACAGAAGACUACAUUUCCAUUCAAUGAAACAUUUCCUACUGUUACCACAGUGUGGAUGGAUUUCACAGACAUGAUGAUGAGUGAAAAAAGACUAGACACACAACAUUUUAUAUUGGAUUAUAUCAUUUAUACAAAGUACAGGCAUAGGCAAAGAUGACAGCUUCCCAGGUGGUUCAGUGAUAAAGAAUCCAUCUGCCAAUACAGGAGAUGCAGGAGAUGCGGGUUCUAUCCUCGCCAAUACAGGAGAUGCAGGAGAUGUGGGUUCUAUCCUUGGGUUGAAAAGAUCCCCUGGAGGAGGAAAUGGCAACCCAUUUCAGUAUUCUUGCCAGGACAAUCUCAUGGACAGAGGAGCUUCAAAGUCUACUGUCAAUGGGGUCGCAAAGAGUUGGACACAUCUGAGCAACUGAGAGGGAGCAUCAGUUCAGUUCAGUUGCUCAGUUGUGUCCAACUCUUUGCAACCCCAUGGGCUGCAGCAUGCCAGGCCUCCCUGUCCAUUACCAACUCCCAGAGCUUGCUCAAACUCCAGGAUGCCAUCCAACCAUCUCAUCCUCUGUUGUCCCCUUCUCCUCCUGCGCUCCUGAGCAUGAGCAUAGGCAAAGAUAAUUGAUAAAUGAUGCUGACAGUCAGAAAAAUAGAUUCAAUGAUGCAGAUGUGAUUGUGGAUGGGAAGGGCACCGAGGAGACUUCUGGGGUGACAGAAAUGUUCUAUGUAUCAAUCUGGAUGAUGGGUCCAUGCUUGUAUUUAUAUAAAAUUAAUUAAACAGUUUACUUUAGAUUUGUGUUUUACUGUAUUUAAGUUAUACUUCAAUAAUAAAAAGAAAGCCACCAAUAUUCUUUUAUUUUUUUAAAUAUUAAUUUAUGUAUUUGGCACUGGGUCUUAGUUGUGGCGUACGAGAUGGUUAGUUGCAGCAUGUGGGAUCUAGUUUCCUGAACAGGAUUUGAAUACAGUACUCCUUUAUUGGGAGUGCAGAGCAGAGUCUUAGCCACUGGAUGACCAGGAAAGUCCCCAAUAUUCUUUUACAAGUCUAGUCAUCAAAGUUGACUUAUGUCAGUGUACAAAAAACAUUGUUACUUUUAUCCUCCUGCUCAACCAUGGAUUAUGUGGCUUUGAUUUAAUGCCUGCAAGAUGGUUGUUACAGCUGUAAGAACUGCAUCUUCAUUCCUUAUAGGAGAAAAGGAAAAAGCAAAGGGCAGAGAUCGAAGGCCAAAAACAUAAGCCAGUUGAGUCAUAUCCCUUUUAAAUAAGACUCCUGUAAGUACCAUGCAUUUACAUCUCACCAGGAAGGAUAGUGUUUUUUGUGGCCACCCUGAAUGCAAUAGAGGCUGGUCAAAUUACUUUUUUUUUUUUAACUGGGUUCAUCGAGGCAAUGCGAACAAAAUUAGCUAAAAUAGAAAUUAAGCUGUAAGAACUGCAUCUUCAUUCCUUAUAGAAGAAAAGGAGAAAGCAAAGGGCAGAGAUCGAAGGCCAGCCAGUUGAGUCAUAUCCCUUUUAAAUAAGACUCCUGUAAGUACCAUGCAUUUACAUCUCACCAGGAAGGAUAGUGUUUUUUGUGGCCACCCUGAAUGCAAUAGAGGCUGGUCAAAUUACUUUUUUUUUUUUAACUGGGUUCAUCGAGGCAAUGCGAACAAAAUUAGCUAAAAUAGAAAUUACUAGAACGGAUAUUGGGUAAGUAAGUAAAUAAGUAGCAGCUUUGAGUAAAUUACUUCAUGGGAAAUAGACGGGGAAACAGUGGAAACAGUGUCAGACUUUAUUUUUUGGGGCUCCAAAAUCACUGCAGAUGGUGACUGCAGCCAUGAAAUUAAAAGACACUCACUCCUUGGAAGAAAAGUUAUGACAAACCUAGAUAGUGUAUUCAAAAGCAGAGACAUUACUUUGCUACUUUGGCCACCUCAAGUGAAGAGUUGACUUGGAACUCUUGGAUUGGAAAAGGCUCUGAUGCUGGGAGGGAUUGGGGGCAGGAGGAGAAGGGGACAACAGAGGAUGAGAUGGCUGGAUGGCAUCACGGACUCGAUGGACGUGAGUCUGAGUGAACUCCGGGAGAUGGUGAUGGACAGGGAGGCCUGGCGUGCUGCAAUUCAUGGGGUCACAAAGAGUUGGACACGACUGAGUGACUGAACUGAACUGAACUGAACUCGAGUAAAUUAUUAAUCUGAAAACUAUGAAGCCACAGAAAUUCCUUCACUUCCAUCUUUGACCCUCUGCCUUAUCUACUAUCACUCAUCCAAUUAUCUUUAGAUCAUUUGAUGGGAAGCAUCUUCAUUUGCUAUUUUAAGCAAACUUGCUAUCUCUGCCAGAGAUAUUUACAUCCUUAAUUCCCAAAAUAGAUUUGAGAGUUUCAGUGAGGUUUUUGUCCCCUGGGGUGAGGUGGGGUGUUGUUGAGUUGUUAAGUCAUGAUCCAAUUCUGUGAUCGCAGCAUGUGGGAUCUAGUUUCCUGAACAGGAUUUGAAUACAGUACUCCUUUAUUGGGAGUGCAGAGCAGAGUCUUAGCCACUGGAUGACCAGGAAAGUCCCCAAUAUUCUUUUACAAGUCUAGUCAUCAAAGUUGACUUAUGUCAGUGUACAAAAAACAUUGUUACUUUUAUCCUCCUGCUCAACCAUGGAUUAUGUGGCUUUGAUUUAAUGCCUGCAAGAUGGUUGUUACAGCUGUAAGAACUGCAUCUUCAUUCCUUAUAGGAGAAAAGGAAAAAGCAAAGGGCAGAGAUCGAAGGCCAAAAACAUAAGCCAGUUGAGUCAUAUCCCUUUUAAAUAAGACUCCUGUAAGUACCAUACAUUUACAUCUCACCAGGAGGGAUAGUGUUUUUUGUGGCCACCCUGAAUGCAAUAGAGGCUGGUCAAAUUACUUUUUUUUUUUUAACUGGGUUCAUCGAGGCAAUGCGAACAAAAUUAGCUAAAAUAGAAAUUACUAGAACGGAUAUUGGGUAAGUAAGUAAAUAAGUAGCAGCUUUGAGUAAAUUACUUCAUGGGAAAUAGACGGGGAAACAGUGGAAACAGUGUCAGACUUUAUUUUUUUGGGCUCCAAAAUCACUGCAGAUGGUGACUGCAGCCAUGAAAUUAAAAGACACUCACUCCUUGGAAGAAAAGUUAUGACAAACCUAGAUAGUGUAUUCAAAAGCAGAGACAUUACUUUGAUGACUAAGGUCCAUCUAGUCAAGGCUAUGGUUUUUCCUGUGGUCAUGUAUGGAUGUGAGAGUUGGACUGUGAAGAAAGCUGAGCGCUGAAGAAUUGAUGCUUUUGAACUGUGGUGUUGGAGAAGACUCUUGAG
ensembl:lincRNA